AUUGAACGCUGGCGGCAGGCCUAACACAUGCAAGUCGAACGCGUGGCGGACGGGUGAGUAAUGUCUGUGACACUGCUCGAUGGAGGGGGAUAACUACUGGAAACGGUAGCUAAUACCGCAUACCAUCGGAUGUGCCCAGAGGGGACUGGCCAGUAGGUGGGGUAACGGCUCACCUAGGCGACGAUCCCUGGCGGGUCUGAGAGGAUGACCGUCCACACGGGAACUGGGACACGGUCCAGACUCGUAGGGGGGGCAGCAGUGGGGAAUAUUGCACAAUGGGGGCAAGCCGGAUGCGGCCAUGCCGCGUGUAUGAAGAAGGCCUUCGGGUUGUAAAGUACUUUCAGCGGGGAGGCGUUACUAGCAGAAGAAGCACCGGCUAACUCCGUGCCAGCAGCCGCGGUAUUC
rnacentral:rRNA from 1 species